ensembl:lncRNA
UUCUGGGGUUGGAUCUAUGGGGCCCUAUGGGGUUGGGAUCUAUUGGGGGUCCAUUUUGGGGUUGGAUCUAUGGGGCCCAUGGGGUUGGAUCUAUGGGGUGAGAUCUUGUGGGGUCAUUGGAUAUCUAUUGGGGUUGGAUCUAUUGGGGUGGGAUCUGUGGGGGCUCGUAAUUAAAAAAAACAAAAAAAAGUUAUGGGGGUUGGAUCUAUGGGGUUGGAAUCUGGGGUUAUUGAUAUCUAUUGGGGUCGGAUCUAAUUGGGUUAGAUUUGUGGGGCUCAUUGAUGUCCUAUGGGUCGGAUCUAUGGGGCUCAUUGAGAUCUAUGGGCUGGAGGGAUUUAUUGCGGCUAGGAGUUGGGUUUAUAGUUUUGGUAGGGGAAAAUCUAUGGGGCUGGCUAUGGGGCUGGUGUGUGUUAUGGGGUUGGUAGGCGAUCUAUGGGGCUGGCUAGUGGGGCUGGCUGUUUUUUUUUUUGUUGUUUUUUUACGGAGGGGUGUUAGGGGAUCUUAAUGGGGCUGGCUGUGUGUUACGGGUUGCCGUAGAGGGAUCUAUGGGGCUGGGCUUAUGGGGCUGGCUGUUGUGUUAUUGGGUGUUGGUUAAGGGGAAUCUAUGGGGGCUGGCUAUGGGGGCUGGCUGUGUGUUACGGGUUUGGUAGGGAUCUGUGGGCUGGCAUAUGGGGCUGGGCUGUGUGUUCAUGGGUGGUAGGGGAAUCUAUUGGGGCUUGGCUUAUGGCGCUGGCUGUGUGUUAACGGGGGUUGGUAGGGAUCUGUGGGGCUGGCUAUGGGCUGGCUUGUGUUUAUGGGGUUGGUAGGGAAUCUAUGGGGCUGGCUAUGACGGGAGGGCGGGGGCUUAGCUGUUGUUAUUUGGGGCUUAUAGUCAGGCUGACACCCCAUAGACCCCAAUAGAUACCCCCCAAACCCCAUAGACCCCUAUUGACACCCCAUAGACCCCUAUUGACACCCCAUAGACCCCUAUACACACUCACUCACUCUACAGACCCCAUAGACCCCAAUAAAGUCUCACCCCACAGACCCCCA